rfam:Hydrogenobaculum sp. Y04AAS1, complete genome.
GUGUCUGUAGCUUAACGGAUAAAGCGCAGGUCUCCGGAACCUGAGAUUGCGGGUUCGAAUCCCGCCAGACACG